AUACAUAAUUGCAAACAAAACGACCCGCAUCCUCCGAUAAUAUCACAUUGUAGCUUUUCGCCUUCAACCUCUCUAAGAUCGUCGGAGCCGAGCAGGAUGUCUUGAAACAAUGAUUGACAACAUACAAUAACAGCUCAAGAAGUAAGAGAGGAAAUCAACCUGAGGCUGCCAUCCGAGUUCGUCUGGAUAACGAAAAGUAGCUUCGUUCACAGCUUGCCAUUCAACAGCAAACCUCGUCGAACCACUAUUGACUCCCAAGUGAAGCUGAACAAACAUGAACAAAUCCUCUCCAGGUUUGAGUAUUCAUUAUUAAUCAUAUCUCAGCUAUACAAAAACGGAAAUUUUGCUACAUAUCAGUAUAUACAAAAAAUUUCCUUUGCUGUGUGUGGGGCCUAUCUUGAUAGGAUAGAAAUAUUAGUUGAAUGCACAAGUUUAUCAAAUAUAAUGUAAUGCUGUUAGCUUUUAAAUGAAGAACUUGUUCAUUUAA